rnacentral:rRNA from 1 species
AACGAACGCUGGUGGCAGGCUUAACACAUGCAAGUCGAACGCCCCGCAAGGGGAGUGGCAGACGGGUGAGUAACGCGUGGGAAUCUACCGUGCCCUGCGGAAUAGCUCCGGGAAACUGGAAUUAAUACCGCAUACGCCCUACGGGGGAAAGAUUUAUCGGGGUAUGAUGAGCCCGCGUUGAAUUAGCUAGUUGGUGGGGUAAAGGCCUACCAAGGCGACGAUCCAUAGCUGGUCUGAGAGGAUGAUCAGCCACAUUGGGACUGAGACACGGCCCAAACUCCUACGGGAGGCAGCAGUGGGGAAUAUUGGACAAUGGGCGCAAGCUUGUUCCAGCCAUGCCGCGUGAGUGAUGAAGGCCUUAGGGUUGUAAAGCUCUUUCACCGUUGAAGAUAAUGACGGUAGUCGGAGAAGAAGCCCCGGCUAACUUCGUGCCAGCCGCCGCCGUAA